CCUACGGGAGGCAGCAGUGAGGAAUAUUGGUCAAUGGACGAGAGUCUGAACCAGCCAAGUAGCGUGAAGGAUGACUGCCCUCUGGGUUGUAAACUUCUUUUAUAGGGGAAUAAAAUGUUCAUCGUGUGGGAUUUUGUAUGUACCAUAUGAAUAAGGAUCGGCUAACUCCGUGCCAGCAGCCGCGGUAAUACGGAGGAUCCGAGCGUUAUCCGGAUUUAGUGGGUUUAAAGGGAGUGUAGGUUGAUUUUUAAGUCAGUUGUGAAAGUUUGCGGCUCAACCGUAAAAUUGCAGUUGAAACUGGCAGUCUUGAGUACAGUAGAGGUGGGCGGAAUUCGUGGUGUAGCGGUGAAAUGCUUAGAUAUCACGAAGAACUCCGAUUGCGAAGGCAGCUCACUGGACUGCAACUGACACUGAGGCUCGAAAGUGUGGGUAUCAAACAGGAUUAGAUACCCUUGUAGUC
rnacentral:rRNA from 1 species